GAACUCAAGGCAGCUGCAGUUUAUAUGGGGUUUUUUCGUGGAUGUGGUGCAGGCCGAGCUCACAUCUGAAUAGCCACUUAUGGUCUGGGCCAUGAAAGGUGUUCCCAGUGUGGGUCCUUGACCAUCAUACACAUACACCUGUGUUCCUCUGAAGUGUGUGACAGCAGCGAGGAGGUACAUGCCCGGGCCUGGUUCAAGGAAACUACAGAUUUGAAUGACUGAAGAGGGAGGAGCUUUCAGUCUCCAUUGCUUCUUAAGGAAAUGUAAUAGAGUCUAAUUGAAGAGAAUAUGAUUCAAGAUACAGACUGGAAUUUCUUAGUCAAGGAUCACUGACCUCAACUAUUUUACAAAACUUAUCAGCAGAACGUUUGAUUUCCUACAAAUCCCAAAAGACAGAUUGGCUGUGCUUUUAUGCAACAUUAACCUGGAUUUUCUAGACAGAAACCAUCAAAUGCAAGCUCAGAGCCCUAUGUGUAUUGCCCAUUAACAGUGGUAGCUCAGUUUGACUAUUCCCUCACUACAAGUUGAAGAAAUGGAUACAAAAUUCUCACAAGAUUCUUAGUCCCUGGAUCCUGGCCUGGUGAAAAGGCGUGGCUGUUAUCUCUCAACAUGGUACUACAGUAGGGCAGCUGUGCCCUGAGAUGUUACCAGCUUCAGACACAGCCUGCUGUCCACCUUCUCCAUGAAGUUCCAGAGCCUUGUGGAAAACCCAGAUGAUUCUGCUCUCCUCACAGUGAGUUCUUUUCUGGGACCUUUAUUGUUCUUUCCUGCCCCCAGAUUUCAGUCAUAGCCACCCCAACCAAAUCACCAAAUCUCAGAGUCAGCUUUAAAGCUUCCCUCCCAGAAGGUCCCCUCAGUGCAAAGGAAAAUUCCCUUGUGUCUGUUGAGAACUAUGCCAACUAAGGAUAGUUAGGAAUGGUAACAUGGGCCAAGCUACAGAAAAGUUUCAUAAGGGCAAAUGACAACUUCCAGAUUCACAUUAAUUUAAAAAAGGUCAUUCAGGAGGUUUAGAAUGAGUCAAAGUGUUGCACAAAGAUGACCUUUUAUUUGUAAUACUAAACAGUGAAACACUGACAGAAUUUUGAAAGCUCACCUUGCCAGGGGACCUGCCUUAUUGGCCUAAUGAAUUUUUUGUUUGAUUAUUUUAUUUUAUUGUCAAGAGCCCCAAUGUGAGAUAUAGACAGGGUAUUCCUUUUCUUAUGGACACUAAUUUCACAAAUUAAAAAAAAAGAAAUAUGUAUAUAUGUGUGUAUAUAUAUAUUAGAUGGGGUAUACAACUACAAGAACAGUGAAUACAGUGUGAACCAAAUAUAAAAGUAAAUAACCAGAAAAAUAAAAUGAAAAAUACAAUAAAUGUAGGCAGCAACCACUUGGUUGUGAGACACUGCAUUAAUCCUCUUUAUCAUUAGUCUCAGAAAUGAAUGUGUAUUAUUUUUAAAACUAGAGAAAAAUACUAAAAAUUUGGAAAUCAACACAUAAGAGGAUAAUUGUGGUUUUUCUUUAUUGUUUUGUUUUUCGAAGCAGAAGUAAUAUCUAUUACAAAAAUAAGAAAUUACAUGGUCUAAAAUAUAGAACAAUGAGGAUUUUAAUAUUGCUCCCUGGUGUAACUUUUUUAGAAGUCUGUCUCUGAAAAUAGAGGAAAAUGUUUAUUUUAAUGAGAAAAAAAAAAGGUAUUUGCUCUUCACACAAUUCUUCUCAAAUAUUUUUAACUUGUAUUUACCCUCAGAUAUGAAUAUGUCAUUUAUUAAUUUCUGUCAAACUUCUUAAAUUUAUUAUUUCCCACCUGUAAGGCUUUAGAUAGAAAUGUGUUCUUGGUUUUUUACCUGCAACGAUAUAAUAUUUUACAUACCCUGAAAUUACGUUCUUUUUCUGCAUGGUAAAUCUUUUUAGCAUUCUUGGAUUUGGUCACUUACUGAUAUUGUUCGUAAUUUUUGUGUUGCUCUUGUAAUUUCACUUCGUCAUUGACUUUCCAAAAUGAAAGGUCUUGCUUUUAUUUUUCAGUCUAAUUUCCUAUUGUUAGAAUCCCUUCAUAAUUUUAUUUGCCUUCUCUAGGACUUUUAAAUAUCCUUAGUAGGGGUACUGACCAGACCUGGGUAAGAAGUAUUUGUCCACUGUGUUUUUCUCAUUUUUUCAAAUUUGGGUAAGAGAGUGCAUCCAGUGUUAUUUAUAAUGCCCCUCUUUAAAACACCACAGUGAAACAAUGGCAGUUGAUGUUUCCCAGAUGCUUCCUGUCUCUUGAGCAUCUAAGACCAAAGUGGUAGCCCAUAAUGCAUUGCCAUGGCAGGCAGGCACAUGGGACGAGCCAGGGCAGCUGCAGUGGCUCUGGCAGCUUGGGACUGAGUAAUAGAAUCAUCAAGGUCAUAGUGGCUCCUCAGAGUCUCUUCAAGGUGUCUUCGGUCAUUUCCUUGGCAGUCUCAGCCCAUUUGCAGAGUAACACUGGUGUUAGAGCAGUGGCGUUUAAUAAGGAACUUGAUCCUAUAUAGAAACUCAUCAUGGGCAAGUUUAGAGAAUACUAACUGAAACAGCAGGAGUCUGAGGAUCUGUUGAUAUUGGCCCAGAGUAUCAGCAAGAACUGUAAAGGGAGUUUUUUAGGCAUAAGCAAAGGUAUGGUAAGGGAGACAUGCCUACAUUUCUUAUCUUUGUAUUUGAAGAUUCUAAUACUGAGAUCAUGGAAAAACCUCAGUGUUGAAGAAAUAAUGUAGGCUAUCUGGUAAUUUGUCCAAGAUUGGUUGUAGAACUAAUCCUAAGUAUCAGCAUAAACAUCAUUUCACACCUCUCUAAUGUUCUUUUAAUUCUGAUUCCAAAUGAAUUACUGGUUGAUACUAGGUAUAACAAAAAAGGAAAGAAAAUAAAUGAUUUAUAGAGGAUUCUAAUGUAGCAUAACUCUGCUCCCUAAAUGUCCUCUUCUGCUUUCAUUUUCUCUUCAAACAAACAAACAAUUUGGACAGGGUUUAAAAAGGUAAGAGAGACAGAAAAACAAUCCAGAUAAUUUUUGAGCAGUUUCAAAAGGUUAACAGUAUUUUCUCAUUGAUAGGUUGGCAUUUUGCAGAUAUUUAAUUAUCAUUAACACUAGUCCAUAAACAAUGUAGCUCUGACCCCCAAGGCUUUACCCAUACCCAUUUUGUCUAAAUGCCAACAAACUAAAUAUGUUUUUGACCUCAAUAUUUUCAGUUAUCCUAAACUGAAUAAUUUUGUGGAGAAGUUAAGAACUUUAACCAUUUUAUUUGGCACUUGCGCGCGUGCGCGCGCGCGCGCGCGCGCGUGUGUGUGUGUGUGUGUGUGUGUGCAUGCAUG
rnacentral:lncRNA from 1 species